rnacentral:rRNA from 1 species
CAGAUGUGAAAGACCCGGGGCGUCAACCUCGGAAUUGCAUUUGAAACUAGGCAAACUAGAGUACUGUAGAGGGGGGUAGGAAGUUUCAGGUGUAGCGGUGAAAUAGCGUAGAGAUCUGAAGGAAUACCGGUGGCGAAGGCGGCCCCCUCGGACAGAUACUGACACUCAGAUGCGAAAGCGUGGGGAGCAAACAGGAUUAGAUACCCCUGGUAG